GUCUUUUUCUCUAAUCUGGACUGUAAAUGUUGAUAAUUUAAUUGCUAUUAAUGCAUUGGGUUUCUGUUUGGUUACUGAGAAAUAUCGGGAGAAAUUGGAGAAAAAAAGAAUCUUUACUGACUUUUGAGGCUUUUUCUUCUUGGUUAUCAAAUUGCAAAAGAAAUCUUGAGAUUUGAAUUUCGGGGUUUGUCUAGUUUUGGCGCUUGUCCAGCUGCAUAUCUAUGACCAUAUUGUAUCUCUGUGUUCUGUUUGUGGACCUUAUGAAUGCUCUACAGUGCAGGAUUCGUUGGCGAUUCCU
rnacentral:misc_RNA from 1 species